rnacentral:lncRNA from 1 species
AUAAAUUUACUACCAUUAGAGCCUAAUAAAUGUGUGGAAGCACCAUAGCCUAUUGGUUAAGGUUUAAAGGCUUCUACACCCAGGUAUGUGGUUCGAAUCUCAGACUAUGCAAUUUAUUGCAGACUACAUAGGAAAGGCUUGCAAGGGAUCUUCAACAUGGUGCAAGUAAAUCUGGCCAGACGUGGAUCUUCAGAGGACGGCUCAGGUGAUGCAGUUAGGCGUAUGUCUUCAUAAGGCAGGUAGUAUUGUCGGUUGUCGAAUCGUCUAUGUAAUCUUUCGUAUAUCAUAAUUGUAAGAUCAUAAUAAAUCAGCGUUAAAAAAAAGAUCCUAAUAAACGUAUUUUUCC